GCCUAAGGGGCCUGAAUACCCUAAAAGCACCAGAUCCUUGUCUGAUCUUAGAAGGUAAGCAGGAUCAGACCUCGUUAAUACUUGGAUGGGAAAUCACCAAUCAAUACUAGGUGCUGUAGGGU
rnacentral:rRNA from 11 species